GGGAGGUAAAUUCCUUCCAAGGCUAAAUAUGGGCAAGAGACCGAUAGCGAACAAGUACCGCGAGGGAAAGAUGAAAAGGACUUUGAAAAGAGAGUUAAAAAGUGCUUGAAAUUGCUGGGAGGGAAGCGAAUGGAAGCUGCGGGUGCGCCUCGGUUGGAUGUGGAACGGUUUCGACUGGUCCGCCGCUCAACGCGAGGCGCUGGUCAGCGUGGGCCGCGGCGCCGGGACAAAAUCAGGGAUUCGUUUCCUGCCUAUGCCGGUGUCGCGGCCGAGGAACGAAGCGCGCGCCUUCUGGCGUGGGUUCGCCCAACUGCGCGCUCGGGACGCUGGCGUAUUGAGCUCUUCAUCCGACCCGUCUUGAAACACGGACCAAGGAGUCUAACAUGUAUGCGAGCCGGUGGGCGGCAAACCCAUUGAGGCGCAAGUAAACUGACAGGUGGGACCCCGACCGAGAGGGAGGGAGCACCAUCGACCGACCGUGAUCUUCUGUGAAAGGUUUGAGUGUGAGCAUGCCUGUUGGGACCCGAAAGAUGGUGAACUAUGCCUGAGCAGGGCGAAGCCAGAGGAAACUCUGGUGGAGGCUCGUAGCGAUACUGACGUGCAAAUCGUUCGUCAGACUGGGUAUAGGGGCGAAAGAUAAUCGAACCA
rnacentral:rRNA from 1 species